rnacentral:miRNA from 1 species
UUUACAGGCUAUGCUAAUCUGU